GUAGGUGUAACUCAAUGAUGGAGUACUUGCCUACCAUGCAUGAGGUCCUAGGUUCAAUCCCCAGCAAAACA
rnacentral:tRNA from 1 species